AAAAAGUUUUAUUUUUGUUUGAAAAUUAGGUUUUAUUUUAAUUUAAAUGUAAAUUUUUGUUUAACCUUAGAAAGGUAAUUUUGCAAUAAAUAGUAUUAAAUAUUAAAGAAAUUUAGAUUUAGUAAUAAUAAAUAAUAUUAACUAAAUUUGUGCCAGCAGUUGCGGUUAUACAAAUAAUAUAAUUUAAUUUGAUUAGUUUUAAUUAAUUGUUAAUAUAUAAUUUUAAUAAAAAAUUUAUAAAGUGAAAUUUAAAAUUUUUACUAAAAAUUAUUGAGUUUUUAUGAAGUUAGGAAAUUUAAUUUAUAAACUAGGAUUAGAUACCCUAUUAUUUUAAAUGUAUUUAAAAAUACUAAGUUAGUAUUAGUUAUGUUCUUGAAAUUUAAAAAUUUUGGCGGUAUUUUAGUCUUUUCAGAGGAACCUGUUCUAUAAUUGAUAGUCCACGAUUUAAUUUACUUUUUUUAAAAAUUUAUAUAUCAUCGUAAUUUGAAUAUUUUAUAAGAAUUUUAAUAUUCAAGAUUUAUUAUAAUAAAAUAAAUCAGAUCAAGGUGUAGUUUAUAUAAAAGAAGAAAUGGGUUACAAUAAAUAAAUUUAAAGAUUAUUAUUUUUAAAAUAGUAUGAAUUUGGAUUUGAAAGUAAUUUGAAUAAAUUUAUUAAUAUGAUUUAGCUCUAAAAUAUGUACAUAUUGCCCGUCGCUUUCAUUAUAAUAUGAGAUAAGUCGUAACAAAGUAGAUUUACUGGAAAGUGAAUCUAGAUAGUU
rnacentral:ncRNA from 1 species